rnacentral:rRNA from 1 species
GACGAACGCUGGCGGUGUGCUUAACACAUGCAAGUGGUGCGACGAACCAGAGCUUGCUCUGGGGCAAAGCCGCGAACGGGUGAGUAACACGUGGGGUAAUCUACCCCGAUGACCGGGACAACCCGAGGAAACUCGGGCUAAUACCGGAUGUGGUACGGAGACAUAAGUCUCUUUACUAAAGGUAGCUUCGGCUUCCGCAUUGGGAGGGGCCCGCGGCCCAUUAGCUAGUUGGUGGGGUCAAGGCCUACCAAGGCAACGAUGGGUAGCUGGUCUGAGAGGACGAUCAGCCACACUGGGGCUGAGACACGGCCCAGACUCCUACGGGAGGCAGCAGUGGGGAAUCUUGCGCAAUGCGCGAAAGCGUGACGCAGCAACACCGCGUGAGGGAAGACGGCCUUAGGGGUUGUAAAACCUCUUUCAGAUGGGACGAAGGUGAUGCGGUGAAUAGCCGAUGUCAUUGACGGUACCGUCAGAAGAAGCUACCGGCUAACUACGUGCCAGCAGCCGCGGUAAU